AUUGAACGCUGGCGGCAGGCCUAACACAUGCAAGUCGAACGAGUGGCGGACGGGUGAGUAAUGUCUGAGAAACUGCCUGAUGGAGGGGUAUAACUACUGGAAACGGUAGCUAAUAACGCAUACCAUCGGAUGUGCCCAGAUGGGAUUAGCUAGUGGGUGGGGUAACGGCUCACCUAGGCGACGAGCCCUAGCGGGUCUGAGAGGAUAACCAGCAAAACUGGAACGGAGAAACGGUCAAUACUCCUACGGGAGGAAGCGGUGGGGAAUAUGGCACAAUGGGCGCAAGCCUGAUGCAGCCAUGCCGCGGGUAUGAAGAAGGCCUUCGGGUUGUAAAGUACUUUCAGCGAGGAGGCGUUACUCGCAGAAGAAGCACCGGCUAACUCCGUGCCAGCGGCCGCGGUAAUAC
rnacentral:rRNA from 1 species